AUCGAACGCUGGCGGCAGGCCUAACACAUGCAAGUCGAAAGAGUGGCGGACGGGUGAGUAAUGUCUGGGAAACUGCCUGAUGGAGGGGGAUAACUACUGGAAACGGUAGCUAAUACCGCAUACCAUCGGAUGUGCCCAGAUGGGAUUAGCUAGUAGGUGGGGUAAAGGCUCACCUAGGCGACGAUCCCUAGCUGGUCUGAGAGGAUGACCAGCCACACUGGAACUGAGACACGGUCCAGACUCCUACGGGAGGCAGCAGUGGGGAAUAUUGCACAAUGGGCGCAAGCCUGAUGCAGCCAUGCCGCGUGUAUUAAGAAGGCCUUCGGGUUGGAAAGUACUUUCGGCGGUGAGGCGGGACCCGCAGAGGAAGCACCGGCUAACUCCGUGCCAGCAGCCGCGGUAAUAC
rnacentral:rRNA from 1 species